rnacentral:tRNA from 1 species
GUUUAUAUAGUUUAAAAAAAAACAUUGGUCUUGUAAAUCAAAAUUAAGAAUAAUUCUUUUUAAGCU